UUAAGCGACUAAGCGUACACGGUGGAUGCCCUGGCAGUCAGAGGCGAUGAAGGACGUGCUAAUCUGCGAUAAGCGUCGGUAAGGUGAUAUGAACCGUUAUAACCGGCGAUUUCCGAAUGGGGAAACCCAGUGUGUUUCGACACACUAUCAUUAACUGAAUCCAUAGGUUAAUGAGGCGAACCGGGGGAACUGAAACAUCUAAGUACCCCGAGGAAAAGAAAUCAACCGAGAUUCCCCCAGUAGCGGCGAGCGAACGGGGAGCAGCCCAGAGCCUGAAUCAGUGUGUGUGUUAGUGGAAGCGUCUGGAAAGGCGCGCGAUACAGGGUGACAGCCCCGUACACAAAAAUGCACAUGCUGUGAGCUCGAUGAGUAGGGCGGGACACGUGGUAUCCUGUCUGAAUAUGGGGGGACCAUCCUCCAAGGCUAAAUACUCCUGACUGACCGAUAGUGAACCAGUACCGUGAGGGAAAGGCGAAAAGAACCCCGGCGAGGGGAGUGAAAAAGAACCUGAAACCGUGUACGUACAAGCAGUGGGAGCACGCUUAGGCGUGUGACUGCGUACCUUUUGUAUAAUGGGUCAGCGACUUAUAUUCUGUAGCAAGGUUAACCGAAUAGGGGAGCCGAAGGGAAACCGAGUCUUAACUGGGCGUUAAGUUGCAGGGUAUAGACCCGAAACCCGGUGAUCUAGCCAUGGGCAGGUUGAAGGUUGGGUAACACUAACUGGAGGACCGAACCGACUAAUGUUGAAAAAUUAGCGGAUGACUUGUGGCUGGGGGUGAAAGGCCAAUCAAACCGGGAGAUAGCUGGUUCUCCCCGAAAGCUAUUUAGGUAGCGCCUCGUGAAUUCAUCUCCGGGGUAGAGCACUGUUUCGGCAAGGGGGUCAUCCCGACUUACCAACCCGAUGCAAACUGCGAAUACCGGAGAAUGUUAUCACGGGAGACACACGGCGGGUGCUAACGUCCGUCGUGAAGAGGGAAACAACCCAGACCGCCAGCUAAGGUCCCAAAGUCAUGGUUAAGUGGGAAACGAUGUGGGAAGGCCCAGACAGCCAGGAUGUUGGCUUAGAAGCAGCCAUCAUUUAAAGAAAGCGUAAUAGCUCACUGGUCGAGUCGGCCUGCGCGGAAGAUGUAACGGGGCUAAACCAUGCACCGAAGCUGCGGCAGCGACGCUGAUGCGUUGUUGGGUAGGGGAGCGUUCUGUAAGCCUGCGAAGGUGUGCUGUGAGGCAUGCUGGAGGUAUCAGAAGUGCGAAUGCUGACAUAAGUAACGAUAAAGCGGGUGAAAAGCCCGCUCGCCGGAAGACCAAGGGUUCCUGUCCAACGUUAAUCGGGGCAGGGUGAGUCGACCCCUAAGGCGAGGCCGAAAGGCGUAGUCGAUGGGAAACAGGUUAAUAUUCCUGUACUUGGUGUUACUGCGAAGGGGGGACGGAGAAGGCUAUGUUGGCCGGGCGACGGUUGUCCCGGUUUAAGCGUGUAGGCUGGUUUUCCAGGCAAAUCCGGAAAAUCAAGGCUGAGGCGUGAUGACGAGGCACUACGGUGCUGAAGCAACAAAUGCCCUGCUUCCAGGAAAAGCCUCUAAGCAUCAGGUAACAUCAAAUCGUACCCCAAACCGACACAGGUGGUCAGGUAGAGAAUACCAAGGCGCUUGAGAGAACUCGGGUGAAGGAACUAGGCAAAAUGGUGCCGUAACUUCGGGAGAAGGCACGCUGAUAUGUAGGUGAAGUCCCUCGCGGAUGGAGCUGAAAUCAGUCGAAGAUACCAGCUGGCUGCAACUGUUUAUUAAAAACACAGCACUGUGCAAACACGAAAGUGGACGUAUACGGUGUGACGCCUGCCCGGUGCCGGAAGGUUAAUUGAUGGGGUCAGCGCAAGCGAAGCUCUUGAUCGAAGCCCCGGUAAACGGCGGCCGUAACUAUAACGGUCCUAAGGUAGCGAAAUUCCUUGUCGGGUAAGUUCCGACCUGCACGAAUGGCGUAAUGAUGGCCAGGCUGUCUCCACCCGAGACUCAGUGAAAUUGAACUCGCUGUGAAGAUGCAGUGUACCCGCGGCAAGACGGAAAGACCCCGUGAACCUUUACUAUAGCUUGACACUGAACAUUGAGCCUUGAUGUGUAGGAUAGGUGGGAGGCUUUGAAGUGUGGACGCCAGUCUGCAUGGAGCCGACCUUGAAAUACCACCCUUUAAUGUUUGAUGUUCUAACGUUGACCCGUGAUCCGGGUUGCGGACAGUGUCUGGUGGGUAGUUUGACUGGGGCGGUCUCCUCCUAAAGAGUAACGGAGGAGCACGAAGGUUGGCUAAUCCUGGUCGGACAUCAGGAGGUUAGUGCAAUGGCAUAAGCCAGCUUGACUGCGAGCGUGACGGCGCGAGCAGGUGCGAAAGCAGGUCAUAGUGAUCCGGUGGUUCUGAAUGGAAGGGCCAUCGCUCAACGGAUAAAAGGUACUCCGGGGAUAACAGGCUGAUACCGCCCAAGAGUUCAUAUCGACGGCGGUGUUUGGCACCUCGAUGUCGGCUCAUCACAUCCUGGGGCUGAAGUAGGUCCCAAGGGUAUGGCUGUUCGCCAUUUAAAGUGGUACGCGAGCUGGGUUUAGAACGUCGUGAGACAGUUCGGUCCCUAUCUGCCGUGGGCGCUGGAGAACUGAGGGGGGCUGCUCCUAGUACGAGAGGACCGGAGUGGACGCAUCACUGGUGUUCGGGUUGUCAUGCCAAUGGCACUGCCCGGUAGCUAAAUGCGGAAGAGAUAAGUGCUGAAAGCAUCUAAGCACGAAACUUGCCCCGAGAUGAGUUCUCCCUGACUCCUUGAGAGUCCUGAAGGAACGUUGAAGACGACGACGUUGAUAGGCCGGGUGUGUAAGCGCAGCGAUGCGUUGAGCUAACCGGUACUAAUGAACCGUGAGGCUUAACCUU
rnacentral:rRNA from 1 species